CCUACGGGAGGCAGCAGUGAGGAAUAUUGGUCAUUGGACGAGAGUCUGAACCAGCCAAGUAGCGUGAAGGAUGACUGCCCUAUGGGUUGUAAACUUCUUUUAUAUGGGAAUAAAACGUUCCACGUGUGGGAUUUUGUAUGUACCAAAUGAAUAAGGAUCGGCUAACUCCGUGCCAGCAGCCGCGGUAAUACGGAGGAUCCGAGCGUUAUCCGGAUUUAUUGGGUUUAAAGGGAGCGUAGGUGGAUUUUUAAGUCAGUUGUGAAAGUUUGCGGCUCAACCGUAAAAUUGCAGUUGAAACUGGCAGUCUUGAGUACAGUAGAGGUGGGCGGAAUUCGUGGUGUAGCGGUGAAAUGCUUAGAUAUCACGAAGAACUCCGAUUGCGAAGGCAGUUCACUGGACUGCAACUGACACUGAGGCUCGAAAGUGUGGGUAUCAAACAGGAUUAGAUACCCCAGUAGUC
rnacentral:rRNA from 1 species